rfam:Hordeum vulgare subsp. vulgare, WGS project CAJW01000000 data, contig: morex_contig_1366171
CUACUAUCCAGCGAAACCACAGCCAAGGGAACGGGCUUGGCGGAAUCAGCGGGGAAAGAAGACCCUGUUGAGCUUGACUCUAGUCCGACUUUGUGAAAGGGCUUGAGAGGUGUAGGAUAAGUGGGAGCCCUUACGGGCGCAAGUGAAAUACCACUACUUUUAACGUUAUUUUACUUAUUCCGUGGGUCGGAAGCGGGGCAUG